UAGAACGAACGCUGGCGGCGCGCUUAAGCAUGCAAGUCGAACGGCAAGAGGUAGCAAUACCUCCUAGAGUGGCGGACUGGUGAGUAACACGUGGGUGACAUACCCUUCAGAUGGGGAUAGCUAUUAGAAAUAGUAGAUAAUACCGAAUACGAGCACAGGGGUUAGAGAUCUGUGAGGAAAGGAGCUAAGGCUCCGCUGAAGGAAUGGCCUGCGGCCCAUUAGCUAGUUGGUGAGGUAAGAGCCCACCAAGGCGAUGAUGGGUAUCCGGCCUUAGAGGGUGAACGGACACAUUGGGACUGAGAUACGGCCCAGACUCCUACGGGAGGCAGCAGCUAAGAAUAUUCCGCAAUGGACGAAAGUCUGACGGAGCGACGCCGCGUGGAUGAAGAAGGCCGGAAGGUUGUAAAAUCCUUUUGAAACUGAAGAAUAAGCGUUGUAGGGAAUGACAGCGUGGUGACAGUAGGUUUUGAAUAAGCAACGGCUAAUUACGUGCCAGCCGCUGC
rnacentral:rRNA from 1 species